UAACCGAAUCAAAAAAAAAAAAAAGACAAAUAUGGUUCUAAGGCAAGCAAAUUUAGAAAACCACCAAGAUCGCUCUGUGUUAGACCUCACUCCUAAUCAACACUUCCAAUUCAUAUUAACUGUUCCCAAGUACCUUGUGGUCUGAUGGCAUAACUAUUACCAUUCCAAACGGAAGGUCUCAGGUUCGAGUCUUAUUCCAAUCAAGGGUGUUGACAUUAUCAUGUUGAGCAAAUACUAUGAAUAGGUUAGAUUGUAGUACUCAAAACAA